rnacentral:lncRNA from 1 species
AAAAACAGUGCAUGGACAUUAUGUUCCCUCUUUACAGGUAAAACCUAAUAUGCUACUAUUUUUAUACCGGCCAUUUGAUUUUAUUUUACACACUAUUUUUUAUUGUUUCGCCUUUUUGGGUUCAUUGCGCUGGCAUAUAAUCCUUUUUUUUUGUCACAACUUUUAUAUUAAAAUUAAACGCUCAAAAAUCUUAAACAGUUAUAACUGGAACGACUAGAUGACAAACGAAAACUACAACAGCAAUAAGAGAGAUAGAAGUGUUAAGAGGGGUGAAAAUACCCGUAGAAAUGCUUCACUUGAGACCCCGAAACUGAUGUUCCCAAGAACAUACUGAAGUCGGGAUAUGAACUGACGAUGAGGAGCCCUAUCAAGAGGGUUUGGAAACGGUUGGUAUAAGACACCAACACUUGUGAUAAGAGGCUUCCGCUUGAUGACAAUGUGACGAACAAAUGAGCCGAGAAUGACAACUGAGGUAGGAGACCUCUAGACCAACGUGCAUACCUAAGACACGUAUGAAAUGUUGAGGUGCGUCUGCAGGCAUGGCAGGAAGAAAGGGAAUACACUCCAUAAAGGAAGCUUGGUCAAGGAGAGUUGAGCCAUAAACUCCGGUUCUAGAGUACUCGUUGGAUUGAGCAGACAAUGCAACUACCGUACACAAG